UCCCCCCAAAACCCAUUUUCCCUCCACCUCCACCCAACUUCUCUCUCCACCGGCGCCGGCGCCGGCUCCGGUGUCCCACUGAAACCGGCGAAGUCGUCUGCUCUCCCCCACCGUCGACCGACCCCUUUCCUUUCUCCAUUUUUCCUCUCCAACCCCUUUUCUCCACCUUGCGUCCUCUCCUCUCCCCACCGUCACCGCCGCCGACAACCACCUCCACUGCCCUCCAUCAGCUCCGGCCGGAACCCAUUUAAAUUUCUUUGUUGGGAAUAAGGGGAUAUUUUUUGUACCCAUUGAUUUAAAGAGGCUUCUGUCCGAUCAAGGUCCUUUCGACGUUGCUUUGCAUAAGUUGUCAGGAACGGACUGGUGCGAGGUUAUUGAGAUAUUACGUGGUUGCUAGGGAAAUCAUUGGCUUCUCCUCUCUUGACCUUUGGUUCUGCAACACCCUUCUGCUUUUCCGCUGCUGACCUUGCCACUGCUAAGCCAAAUAUCGUGCUGUUCAAUGUUAACUUCUCUAAUGGUCUUCCACAAGAUGUGCUCAGAGGAGCUAGGUCCACCAAUUUCUCUCCUAAGAAAUGGGCAAUACAUGCACUCGAUGUUGGGUUCGGUUUUAGCUGUCUACUAGUUUAUAUGCUUUUCUCUGUGUACAAAAGAGAUCAUCUUACUAUAUUGAAGCUAAUGUUGAAGUUGACUUGAUUUUUAAGUCCAAAUGUAUUCAAUGAGAAUAUGUCAGUAUUAGCUCAUUUGAUCUAAAGAUUCUUUCUUUUUUCA